rnacentral:misc_RNA from 1 species
GAUGAAGAACGUAGCGAAAUGCGAUAAGUAAUGUGAAUUGCAGAAUUCAGUGAAUCAUCGAAUCUUUGAACGCACAUUGCGCCCAUUAGUAUUCUAGUGGGCAUGCCUGUUCGAGCGUCAUUAAGUCCACUUAAGCCCUGCUUAGUGAUGGGAGACUGCUCCAGCGGUGCUACCCUGUAGCUACCCUGCAGCUCCUCAAAGACAGCGGCGGAGUUGUGGUAUCCUCUGAGCUUAGUAACUUGUUCUAGCUUUCGAGUACACCACUUCCCCUGCCGUAAAACCCUUAAUUUUUAAGGGUUGACCUCGGAUCAGGGAGGAAUACCCGCUGAACUUGAGCAUAUCAAUAAGCGGAGGA